GGUUGUUCCUGUAUUAUCCUUGUAUAUGCAAACUACUUUUUGUUUCUUAUACACAACGACCUAUGUUCUAUGUUGGGUACAUAUUUUUGCACUUCUUUUGAAAUUAUUAUGGUGCAUAUGUGAUAUACCUAGCUUGUAUUAAUUUCCAGGGUAUAUUCCAGUCAUAAUGGAGAUGCUUGUGAUAAGUUUGGUAUCUUCCUCUGCUACAUCUUUUGGUGUUAUGGGCCGUUCCUAGAUCUCUAUAUUUUGCAAGAGGCCAUGUUAUUUUGGUAUGCAAGAGCAGGCCUGACAUGUAUUAUUCCUUUUUUGUGUUAUAUGCAUUUUUAUCCUUUCUACUAUGAUUAAGUAGCACCAUUUCUUGAUGGUAUUUCGCUAGGGUUGAUGCUUCCACUAUAGUGUUUGUCAUCUGAAAAUGAAUUUGAAUAAGGUCACUUUUGUAUCAAGGUAAACCACCUGGUUUUUUAUUUGUUCCCCGAGAAGUGUGAAGAUCUUACUGAUAAAUGAUAAUUAUCAAUUUAUAAUUACGUGCUCGACUGUUCACUGUAUCUCUUUGGUGAAAACACACCUAAAAUGGUAUUUCACUUAUAAAUAACUAUCUAAUUUGCAUGUUCCAUUUUAUUUCAGACAUAACACAUUCUUUGUAUGUAUUAUGAUGGAUUUUAGAUAUGCUUAGUUGAUAUCAUUUUUUUCUCUUGACUCUAAAACAGGUAUGUACAAGCUAUUUAAGAGGGCCAAGAAGGCGGAAUAACCUCGCUUAUACAGUUUCUGACUGCUAACAGUGCCAUCAUCAAUGAGCUUCACUCUAAAGUUUGUUCAUGAGAGGGUUGGGCUUCCUUCAAUGCUAGGGCUGAAAUUGGAGAAUAAACAAGGGGUUGACAUGCCUGUGAAGUUCUAUUAGGUAUGCUUCUCUCUCUCCCCAAAUCUUUCGGUUCCUGAAGCACAAACCCUGUCAGUUUGUCCAUAUGUAGAUUAUUUUCCUUCUUGUUGGUGCACUAUUCUCGGGUUUUUUGUGUGUUUCUUUCUUGCGGCCAGCUUCACCAUUUACUCUGGAAGGAGUUACUCAACUAAAAAAGAGCGAACAAGUUGAGAUUCUUUUGUCUUGUCUAUAUCGUUCCUACAAUGUUGUUUGGGUUGAUUUUCUUGCUUUUUUGUAGUUUGUGGAGAGAGUUAAGUAGUAGGGUAGCCUUUCUAUGGUGGCGAUCGCAUGCUGUGCAGCGAGUGUAGUUAAUUUGAUGGUUCAUGUUACAAGAAAUAUGUAACGCCCCAGAUAUACUUUCCAUAUUUGUAUCCAACUCUUGCCGUCUCCGGCGCUAAGUUAUAUUUAUUUCUCGGGUUUGGGUCUUUGUCUCCGUGUGUUGUUUUCUUUUUCGUGCAUCUCUUAUCAUGUCAUCACGUGCGUUGCAUUUGCAUACAUGUUCAUCUCAUGCAUUCGAGCAUUUUCCCCGUUGUCCGUUUUGCAUUCCGGCGUUUCGUUCUCCUCCGGUGGUCAUUUCUACCUUUCUUUCUUGUGUGGGGUUUAAACAUUUCCGGAUUGGACCGAGUCUUGCCAAGCGGCCUUGGUUUACUACCGGUAGACCGCCUGUCAAGUUUCGGGUCAUUUGGACUUCGUUUGAUACUCCAACGGUUAACCGGGGGACCGAAAAGGCCUCGUGUGUGUUGCAGCCCAACACCCCCCCCCAAAUUUGGCCCAAAACCCACCAAACUCUGCUCCAUGUCCUAGAGCGUUCGAUCACGAUCGUGUGGGCGAAAACCGCACCUCAUUUGGACUCUCCUAGCUCCCUCUAUGCCUAUAUAUACACCCCUCCGUUUUCGGAUCUCUCCCUCUCCCCGAAACCCUAAAAAAAAAAAACUCCUUCCUCCGCCGCCGACGGACGUGUCCGGCCCGCGCCGGACAGCGUCCGCUCCACCCCGCCGCCCGCCUCAGCCAACGCUGUGCCGCCACGUGGGCGCGCCCACAUCGCCGCCNNNNNNNNNNNNNNNNNNNNNNNNNNNNNNNNNNNNNNNNNNNNNNNNNNNNNNNNNNNNNNNNNNNNNNNNNNNNNNNNNNNNNNNNNNNNNNNNNNNNNNNNNNNNNNNNNNNNNNNNNNNNNNNNNNNNNNNNNNNNNNNNNNNNNNNNNNNNNNNNNNNNNNNNNNNNNNNNNNNNNNNNNNNNNNNNNNNNNNNNNNNNNNNNNNNNNNNNNNNNNNNNNNNNNNNNNNNNNNNNNNNNNNNNNNNNNNNNNNNNNNNNNNNNNNNNNNNNNNNNNNNNNNNNNNNNNNNNNNNNNNCCCCCCCCGUUGACUUUUGUCCAGAAACCCUAGUUUUUUAUGCGAUGUUUGACUGCUCGUAUCUCCGCAACCGUAGAUCCGUUUUAGGCGUAUGAUAUAUCAAAAUCUUCGUCUCGACAUGUACAUCAUUUCAUUCCAUUGCAUCAUUUGCAUUUGAGGUCAUCUUGAUACCCAAAAUGCUGGUAGAAGGAGGCUUCGUGAGUUAAAUUGCAGAUCCGUUAGUUCAUCAUGCACUUUUGUCAUUUUUGCUAUAUUUAAUCCGUGCAUGAUAUGCCUGUGCCCCUUUGGGAUGUAUUGUGAAGCAUUUUGUCUUCUUUCCAGAGGUGCCACCCAUGCAUUUUUAGGAUGUGUGUGUUGUCUUGUGCAAGCUUGCGAAGUAGGGUACCUGAGAUUGCAGAUUUCAGGGACUUAGUGAUUUUCGCUAAGUCUGGGAUAUUUUAGUUCAUGAUGCUAUAUGUCCAGCUUGUUUCCUAAUGAUCCGUGCCUCUUUUGAGGAUGAUCAGUAAGGGAGUUUUGAUAUUUAUGUUAUGCUCUAUCCAUCCAUGUCUUUGUUGGCAUUUGUGGAGUGCUCUAGGUUGACUCAAUCGAGCUCAACUUUUGCUUCGUUGUUAAUCUGGGCAGAUCGUUAACUUGUUUGCGAUUUCGCCGAUGCUACCGUUAGUGUUCCAUGCAUGCUAUGCCUUCGUUCUUGCCAUGUGUAGCUAGAACUUUGUGCCUUCUUGCUGGUCAUAUGCUUUCCUUGCUAUGACUUGCACUGUAGUGAGUGCAUCGAGCUCGUUUACAUGCCUUCGUGAGUUAAAUUUCAGCAUGUCUCAGUUUUCACUAAGUCUGAAAACUGAUUGUGUUCGAGCGAUGUUCGUGAGCUCGGUAGAGUAUUUUGUGAACCCCUUUUGGCCCCAGGUCACUUUGGGUGUUUUAUUAAGCUUGUUGAGUAGCUCCAUGCCAUGUUCUUACUUGUCAUGUUCAGGUCCUCUAUCAUGUUGUUUUGCUGCUCCGAAGAGAGCUUCGUGAUCUGAAAUUUCAGACUAGUGUUAAUUUCACUAAGUCUGAAAUCUGUUUUGCAUUUGCGUUUUAGCCAUGCUUGUUUGAACCUCUUAAUGGAUGAAUUUGCCUAUGGCUCAGUGCUAGUGUUUUGUCAACCAUCUUGUGUACAUCACUGCCAUGUAUUUUGUUUUCAUGUUUGGUGGCUGUAGCAUGUUCAUUUCGUUGCAUUUAGAUGCCUACUUGCUGUAAAUCGCAGACCGGUGUCAUAUCUUAAAACGCUCGCCAUUUCCAAACCGUAGCUCCGAUUCCAAUGAUCCUUAUAUCGUUUUCAAGCGAUUUCAUCCCCUCUAUCCAGUGGCACACUUGGUUUUCCAAGUUGAGGCCAGGUUCAUGCAUUUCCUGUCAUAUCUUGCAUUUUGCAUCCCGCAUUGCAUUCCGCAUAGCAUAUCGUCAUUUCAUCAUAUUGCUUGGUCUUGCCCGUGGUUGAUUGUGUCCUUGUUGUUUGUUUGUCUUUGGGUAGAGCCGGGAGACGAGUUUGCUACCGAGGAGCCCGUUGAGUUUGCUUGUGAGGAUCCAGUCAACUCUGACAACUGUGCAGGCAAGAUGAUCAUACCCUCGAAAUCACUACUAUCUUUGCUAUGCUAGUUUGCUCGCUCUUUUGCUUUGCCAAUGCUACGAUGCCUACCUUUUGCUUGUCAGCCUCCCAACUGCCAUGUUGAACCUCUAACCCACCCUUGUCCUAGCAAACCGUUGAUUGGCUAUGUUACCGCUUUGCUCAGCCCUUCUUAUAGCGUUGUUAGUUGCAGGUGAAGAUUGGAGCCGUUCCUCGUGGGAACAUUUAUUUACUUGUUGGGAUAUCAUUAUAUUGCUAUGUUAUCUUAAUGCAUCUAUAUACUUGGUAAAGGGUGGAAGGCUCGGCCUCUCGCCUAGUGUUUUGUUCCACUCUUGCCGCCCUAGUUUCCGUCAUAUCGGUGUUAUGUUCCCGGAUUGUUGCGUCCCUUACACGGUUGGGCUAUAAUGGGAACCCCUUGAUAGUUCGCCUUGAUUAAAGCUUUUCCAGCAAUGCCCAACAUUGGUUUUACCUUUUGCCACCUAGCCUCUUUUCCCUUGGGUUUCCGGAGCCCGAGGGUCAUCGUAUUUUAGCCCCCCUUGGGCCAGUGCUCCCUCUGAGUGUUGGUCCGAACUGAGCUGCCUGCGGGGCCACCUCGGGGAAACUUGAGGGUUGGUUUUUACUCGUAGCUAGUCUCAUCUGAGUGUGCCCUGAGAAAGAGAUAUGUGCAGCUCCUAUCGGGAUUUGUCGGCACAUUCGGGCGGUGUUGCUGGACUUGUUUUAACCUGUCGAAUCAUCUUGUUGUACCAAGGUACCGAGUCUGAUCGGUGUGUCUUGGGUGGAGGUCUAUUCCUUCGUUGACCGUGAGAGCUUGUCAUGGGCUAAGUUGGGACUCCCCUGCAGGGAUUGAUCUUUCGAAAGCCGUGCCCGCGGUUAUGGGCAGAUGGGAAUUUGUUAAUGUCCGGUUGUAGAUGACUUGAACUAAACUUAAUUAAAAUGAAUCAAUCGUGUGUGUUACCGUGAUGGCCCCUUCUCGGCGGAGUCCGGGAAGUGGACACGGUGUUGGAGUUAUGCUUGCGCAGGAUGUUCCUUUAGCUUCUCGCUCGUGCUUCGCCUUCUCUUCUCGCUCUCUUUGCGUAUAAGUUAGCCACCACAUAUGCUAGUCGCUUGCUGCAGCUCCACAUAUUUUGCCUUAUCCAUUCCUAUGAGCUUAAAUAGUCUUGAUCGCGUGGGUGUGAGAUUGCUGAGUCCCUGUGGCUCACAGAUACUACAACUCCAGAUGCAGGUCCAGGUGAUUCUGCUCCAGUUGACGAUUACGAGCUCAGGUGGGAGUUCGACGAGGACUCUCAGCGUUACUACGUGUCCUUUCCAGAUGAUCAGUAGUGGUGCCUAGUUGGGGUUAUCGAUUCAGGACCUUGUCGCAUGUUGGGGGGUCUUUUCUAUUUGGCGCCGUAGUCGGGCCAUGAGUGUUUGUUUGAUGGAUGUUAUUUAUGUACUCUGAUGUGACGUGGCGAGUGUAAGCCAACUAUGUUAUCUCCCCCUUUUUAUUAUGUAUUACAUGGGAUGUUGUAAUGAUUGCCUGACUUGCGACAUUGCUUUCAAUGCGGUUAUGCCUCUAAGCCGUGCCUCGACACGUGGGAGCUAUAGCCGCAUCGAGGGCGUUACAAAAUAUCAUUCCUCUGUUUUUAGGUUUCAGGUUCCUUUUGUUGUGAGGUGCUCCAUGGCCCUUUGCUUGGUUGCUCUGUGGUGAGGCAACAGAGAUAAUUAGCAGUCUUGUAUACUAACCAAGAGAACAUCCAUUUCAUGAUUUUGGGUAUUGGGUUCUCUUUGCUAAACCAGUUGCAGCUAGAUGAGAGAAGUAGUAAGUAAUAUCAGGUGCAUAAUUUCUAUCAGUCUGUAUUCUAAUGACUACUGAUAUCCCCUUUCCUGUAGUGUGGCACUGAAUCAAUAGGUCAUUUUUGCACAAUCAUGUGUCAUGUUCCUUUAUGAAUCAUAUAAUAUCAAGAGACAACUUAUGGAACUGUUCAGAUUUUUAUGGCAGCCCUAACUUCGCUAGGUAAUAACUUUAUUUGGUCUUUAUCCAACUGUUUUUUAUCAUAUCAAAUUACUGCAGAGCGUACUGAUUUUUUUGUCACCUAGCAACGGCGCCUUUCAGUUCAACUAGCAGUUUAAACCUCCGAAGGUUUAAGGUGAACAAUAAGAUAUUUUUGGGUUUGUUUGAACUGUUGUGUCUGUCCACUUGAGUGCCUCCAUAUGUGGUUCUUCUGUUGCAUUAGUUAUAUUUUUAUUUUUGAUCAUCUUGCCCAAAACUAAAGUUUCACUACAUGAAAAAUGACUACUUUAUUUUAUACCAUGUUACCCUCUUUCUCUUCCCCACAGGACAGCGUCUCUCCGCGUUCUCGAUCCGGCGCCGCCACAUAUCGUGAUUCUGGAUCGGGCGCAGGUCGUCGCCAUAAGAGAGCCUGGCUGGUGUGGUCUUCACGCUUGGUGUGGAGAAGCACGGGAGGAUGAGUAGGACGGGCAUGGGGAAGGAGCAGCCAGGCCGGAGCUCCGGCGUUCCUCGUGUCAUGGUCGAAUGGAGCCGGCCAUCACUAUGGGCUUCUGCUCGCCGGUCGUCGUUCCCCAAUCUCAGUUGCUCAUCUUUGGCUUCACCAUCUUCCUCCCCUGAUCAUGCAUCUAUUUUAAAUCAUAUAAUUAUGCUAUAUCAUAUAUGUUGUUUAGUUCACACUUGUGCAUGCGCAUGCAUUGGCAUUGAUUUAGACAGAGAUAUUGCAUGAUUUGUACAUAGAAGGAGUACGGAUGAUCUAGGAAUAAAUGUUUGAAUAAAGUUAGUAGUGAGAUUUAGGUAGAGGUUACCUGCAAUGUUCUGUUUUAUGUAGAUUCUAAGAUGCAAAAUCAUACAUGGUCCUGUUAGUAAUUUGUUUGAGUUGUGAGUUUAAGCAUUUUCCCUUGGAAUGUUUGUAUGUGUGAUCACUUGCUUUUAGGUUCCCAGUGGUAUAUCAUGAGAAGUUUUUUACUUUGCACCGGGUGAUCAACUACAUAUUUAGACGAAUACACUAUUCAGGACCAG
rnacentral:lncRNA from 1 species